UACGAGAGGCGCAAACGUUAUUCGGAAUUACUGGGCUUAAAGAGUUCGUAGGCGGCGCAGAAAGUAGGGUGUGAAAGCCCUCGGCUUAACCGAGGAAUUGCGCUCUAAACUACUGUGCUUGAGGGACCUAGAGGUGAGCGGAACUGAUGGUGGAGCGGUGAAAUGCGUUGAUAUCAUCAGGAACACCGGAGGCGAAGGCGGCUCACUGGGGGUCUUCGUG
rnacentral:rRNA from 1 species